rnacentral:rRNA from 1 species
UCUUGGUUCAGGAUGAACGCUGACAGAGUGCUUAACACAUGCAAGUCUACUUGAUCCUUCGGGUGAAGGUGGCGGACGGGUGAGUAACGCGUAAAGAACUUGCCUUACAGACUGGGACAACAUUUGGAAACGAAUGCUAAUACCGGAUAUUAUGAUUGGGUCGCAUGAUCUGGUUAUGAAAGCUAUAUGCGCUGUGAGAGAGCUUUGCGUCCCAUUAGUUAGUUGGUGAGGUAACGGCUCACCAAGACGAUGAUGGGUAGCCGGCCUGAGAGGGUGAACGGCCACAAGGGGACUGAGACACGGCCCUUACUCCUACGGGAGGCAGCAGUGGGGAAUAUUGGACAAUGGACCAAAAGUCUGAUCCAGCAAAUUCUGUGUGCACGAUGAAGUUUUUCGGAAUGUAAAGUGCUUUCAGUUGGGAAGAAGUCAGUGACGGUACCAACAGAAGAAGCGACGGCUAAAUACGUGCCAGCAGCGGC